UGACUAGAUCUGACACUCGUCCA
rnacentral:miRNA from 2 species